GGUAUUUAGAGGAAGUAAAAGUCGUAACAAGGUUUCCGUAGGUGAACCUGCGGAAGGAUCAUUACCUAGAGUUGUAGGCUUUGCCUGCUAUCUCUUACCCAUGUCUUUUGAGUACCUUACGUUUCCUCGGUGGGUUCGCCCACCGAUUGGACAAACUUAAACCCUUUGCAGUUGAAAUCAGCGUCUGAAAAAACUUAAUAGUUACAACUUUCAACAACGGAUCUCUUGGUUCUGGCAUCGAUGAAGAACGCAGCGAAAUGCGAUAAGUAGUGUGAAUUGCAGAAUUCAGUGAAUCAUCGAAUCUUUGAACGCACAUUGCGCCCCUUGGUAUUCCAUGGGGCAUGCCUGUUCGAGCGUCAUUUGUACCUUCAAGCUCUGCUUGGUGUUGGGUGUUUGUCUCCUGUAGACUCGCCUUAAAACAAUUGGCAGCCGGCGUAUUGAUUUCGGAGCGCAGUACAUCUCGCGCUUUGCACUCAUAACGACGACGUCCAAAAGUACAUUUUUACACUCUUGACCUCGGAUCAGGUAGGGAUACCCGCUGAACUUAAGCAUAUCA
rnacentral:rRNA from 1 species